GAGUUUGAUCCUGGCUCAGGAUGAACGCUGGCGGCGUGCUUAACACAUGCAAGUCGAACGGAAAGGCCCUUGCUUGCAAGGGUGCUCGAGUGGCGAACGGGUGAGUAACACGUAGGUGAUCUGCCUUUCACUUCGGGAUAAGCUUGGGAAACUGGGUCUAAUACCGGAUAUUCACGGCACCGUGGUUGGUGUGGUGGAAAGCUUUUGCGGUGGGAGAUGAGCUUGCGGCCUAUCAGCUUGUUGGUGGGGUAAUGGCCUACCAAGGCGGCGACGGGUAGCCGGCCUGAGAGGGUGUGCGGCCACAUUGGGACUGAGAUACGGCCCAGACUCCUACGGGAGGCAGCAGUGGGGAAUUUGCACAAUGGGCGGAAGCCUGAUGCAGCGACGCCGUGUGGGGAUGAAGGCCUCGGUUGU
rnacentral:rRNA from 1 species